AUUGAACGCUGGCGGCAGGCCUAACACAUGCAAGUCGAGCGAGCGGCGGACGGGUGAGUAAUGUAUGGGGACUGCCCGAUAGAGGGGGAUAACUACUGGAAAAGGUGGCUAAUACCGCAUACUAUCGGAUAACCCAUAUGGGAUUGGCUAGUAGGUGGGGGAAAGGCUCACCUAGGCGACGAUCUCUAGCUGGUCUGAGAGGAUGAUCAGCCGCCCUGGGACGGCGACACGGCCCAGAGGCCUUCGGAAGCAGCCGUGGGGAAGAUUGCACAAUGGGCGGAAACCUGAUGCAGCCAUGCCGCGUGUAUGAAGAAGGCAUUAGGGUUGUAAAGUACUUUCAGCCGGGAUGCGUUACCCGCAGAAGAAGCACCGGCUAACUCCGUGCCAGCAGCCGCGGUAAUUC
rnacentral:rRNA from 1 species